UACGAAGGGGGCUAGCGUUGUUCGGAAUCACUGGGCGUAAAGCGCACGCAGGCGGAUCGUUAAGUCAGGGGUGAAAUGCCGAGGCUCAACCUCGGAACUGCCUUUGAUACUGGGGAUCUCGAGUCCGGAAGAGGUGAGUGGAACUCCGAGUGUAGAGGUGAAAUUCGUAGAUAUUCGGAAGAACACCAGUGGCGAAGGCGGCUCACUGGUCCGGUACUGACGCUGAGGUGCGAAAGCGUGGGGAGCAAACAGG
rnacentral:rRNA from 1 species